rnacentral:rRNA from 1 species
AACGGCCGUACCAUGCUGAAUAUACCGGUUCUCGUUCGAUCACCGAAGUCAAGCAUCAUUGGGCGCGGUCAGUACUUGGGUGGGUGACCACCUGGGAACACCGCGU